AGUGGCGAACGGGUGAGUAACACGUGAGCAACCUGCCCCUGACUCUGGGAUAAGCGCUGGAAACGGCGUCUAAUACUGGAUAUGUGACGUGGCCGCAUGGUCUGCGUUUGGAAAGAUUUUUCGGUUGGGGAUGGGCUCGCGGCCUAUCAGCUUGUUGGUGAGGUAAUGGCUCACCAAGGCGUCGACGGGUAGCCGGCCUGAGAGGGUGACCGGCCACACUGGGACUGAGACACGGCCCAGACUCCUACGGGAGGCAGCAGUGGGGAAUAUUGCACAAUGGGCGGAAGCCUGAUGCAGCAACGCCGCGUGAGGGAUGACGGCCUUCGGGUUGUAAACCUCUUUUAGCAGGGAAGAAGCGAGAGUGACGGUACCUGCAGAAAAAGCGCCGGCUAACUACGUGCCAGCAGCCGCGGUAAUACGUAGGGCGCAAGCGUUAUCCGGAAUUAUUGGGCGUAAAGAGCUCGUAGGCGGUCUGUCGCGUCUGCUGUGAAAUCCCGAGGCUCAACCUCGGGCUUGCAGUGGGUACGGGCAGACUAGAGUGCGGUAGGGGAGAUUGGAAUUCCUGGUGUAGCGGUGGAAUGCGCAGAUAUCAGGAGGAACACCGAUGGCGAAGGCAGAUCUCUGGGCCGUAACUGACGCUGAGGAGCGAAAGGGUGGGGAGCAAACAGGCUUAGAUACCCUGGUAGUCCACCCCGUAAACGUUGGGAACUAGUUGUGGGG
rnacentral:rRNA from 1 species